rnacentral:misc_RNA from 1 species
AAAGUCAUAACAAGGUUUCCGUAGGUGAACCUGCGGAAGGAUCAUUUUUGAAUAAUGUACCUUUACACACUGUGAACUGUGGCUCCGGCCCAAACUUGAAUGUAUAGAAUGUAAACAAUCAAAACAAAACAAAACUUUUAACAACGGAUCUCUUGGCUCUC